rnacentral:pre_miRNA from 1 species
CUCCCGGACCCUCGCUGAUACUGGUGGAAGCGCGAGGGGCGUUGCCACCAGUAUCCGCGAGCGUCCGGAGG